CAGUCGCCGCGGUAAAACGUAGGGUGCAAGCGUUAAUCGGAAUUACUGGGCGUAAAGCGCGCGUAGGUGGUUUGGUAAGAUGGAUGUGAAAUCCCCGGGCUCAACCUGGGAACUGCAUCCAUAACUGCCUGACUAGAGUACGGUAGAGGGUGGUGGAAUUUCCUGUGUAGCGGUGAAAUGCGUAGAUAUAGGAAGGAACACCAGUGGCGAAGGCGACCACCUGGACUGAUACUGACACUGAGGUGCGAAAGCGUGGGGAGCAAACAGGAUUAGAUACCCGCGUAGUCCCUGUCUCUUAUAC
rnacentral:rRNA from 1 species